UAAAAGGACCCGAAAAAAAUCACAGUGCCUGUGUGCUUUAAGAACGAGGUGUGCCAUUUUUUGCCACUGAGACAAUGGAGGGAGAGAGGAGGCAUGCGACUGGAAAGAUAAAGAUUAAACACAAGAUCAACUCUCCCUUUUCUGUUUCUAAUGGGAUUCUGCCCGUUAUGUUUUCAUCUCCUCCACUGAUUCUGUAAAAUAGGUGAAAGUUGAUAAUUAUGUAAAACAACCCCCACCCCCCGUCAGUCAAAGGCUGGGGAUGAAUAACAAACAAGUGAGCGCAGGUUGGGCCUCUGCGUGUCAAUCAUGGCUCUGAAUGCAUACCGUGCCGCAAACACGUCCGUAUGCUGUCAACAAGUGUCAGGGGCUUAUGUUUCAGGCUUAUGUUUCGCCUGCAGGGACAUUCAAAACCAAGGAAUUCCUGAACAAAUCUUUGAUAAAAAA